CGCGGUAAUUUGACCGUGCGAAGGUAGCAUAAUCAAUAGUCUCUUAAUUGGAGGCUGGAAUGAAGGGUCGUACAAGAAGUAGUCUGUCUUUUUUAUAUAAAUUGAAUUUAACUUUUAAGUGAAAAGGCUUAGAUUUUCUGGGGGGACGAUAAGACCCUAUAAAACUUUACAUGAGUGGGUUCGUUUUUGAAUUAGGGUGUGAAUAAAAAUUAUCUUUAUCUUGUUACGUUGGGGCGAUGAAAAUAUAAUUUGUAACUGUUUGUUAGUUUAAAAUAAAAGUAUUUAGGUAGAUUGAUCCUGUAUUAUGGAUUAUAAGAGUAAGUUACUUUAGGGAUAACAGCGUGAUUUUUUCUGAGAGUUCUUAUCGACGAAAGUAGUUGCGACCUCGAUGUUGAAUUAAAGUUUCAUCAAGGUGUAGAAG
rnacentral:rRNA from 1 species